CCAUCAUUCAGUUGGGCACUCUAGCGAGACUGCAGGUAUAACCGGAGAAGUGGGGAUGACGUCAAAUCAUCAUGCCCCUUAUGACCUGGGCUACACACGUGCUACAAUGGUUGGUACAACGAGUUGCGAGUCGGUGACGGCGAGCUAAUCUCUUAAAGCCAAUCUCAGUUCGGAUUGUAGGCUGCAACUCGCCUACAUGAAGUCGGAAUCGCUAGUAAUCGCGGAUCAGCACGCCGCGGUGAAUACGUUCCCGGGCCUU
rnacentral:rRNA from 1 species